GACAGAGGGGGCAAGCGUUGCUCGGAAUCACUGGGCGUAAAGGGCGCGUAGGCGGGAUGGCAAGUCAGUCGUGAAAUCUCUCGGCUCAACCGAGAAACGUCGGCUGAUACUGCCGUUCUUGAGGGAUGCAGGGGAGAACGGAAUUCCUGGUGUAGCGGUGAAAUGCGCAGAUAUCAGGAGGAACACCGGUGGCGAAGGCGGUUCUCUGGGCAUGUCCUGACGCUGAGGAGCGAAAGUGUGGGGAGCGAACAGG
rnacentral:rRNA from 1 species